GUAGGUGGCAAGCGUUGUCCGGAUUUACUGGGCGUAAAGGGCGCGCAGGCGGCUCGUCAAGUCUGGGGUGAAAUCUCCCGGCUCAACCGGGAGAGGUCUCUGGAUACUGACGGGCUUGAGGGAAGCAGAGGAGAGCGGAAUUCCCGGUGUAGCGGUGAUAUGCGUAGAUAUCGGGAGGAACACCAGUGGCGAAGGCGGCUCUCUGGGCUUUUCCUGACGCUGAGGCGCGAAAGCGUGGGGAGCGAACCGGGAUUAGAUACCCGGGUAGUCCACGCCGUAAACGUUGUGCACUAGGUGUGGGGGUAUUGACCCCCCCGUCCGUGCCGCAGUUAACGCGAUAAGUGCACCGCCUGGGGAGUACGGCCGCAAGGCUA
rnacentral:rRNA from 1 species